rnacentral:rRNA from 1 species
AUGGAACUGCCGGGGGCGGGGAACCGCUGGACAGUUCAAGAAGUUGGGGCUCUUGCAAAAGCCCAUUCCUUGAGGUUCGUCUUCCUGUCUGAAACGAGGCAAUCGUCUGCCAAAGCUAAAAUGAUAAAAUGGAAGCUAGGCCUAAUAGGUUAAUGUGGUGUUGAUUGUGAAGGCCGUGGAGCGGGAUUGGCUACGUUUUGGGACGAUUCCCUCCAAGUGACAAUACUUGAUUCGUGCAAGAGAUAUAUUGAUAUGAGCAUUGUUGAUCAAGAUGGAAAGUCAUGGAGAACAACUUUUGUCUAUGGUGAGCCUUGUGUGGAGCACUGUCAACGCAUGUGGGAUCACCUAGCUAGACUGAAGGGAGUUUCAAACUUGCCAUGGCUAGUAUGUGGGGACUUCAAUGAAGCCCUGUGGCAGCAUGAACACUUCUCAAGAACGAACCAUAGUGAAAGUCAGAUGUAAGGUUUUAGAGAUGCACUCAUAGUUUGUGAGCUUACGGAUCUCGGUUUCUUCGGGGCACCGUUCACCUUUGAUAAUGGCCAGUGGGGUGAAGGUAACGUUCAUGUCCGACUAGACCGAGCAUGUGCUAAUGAUGACUGA